GAUGAACGCUGGCGGCGUGCCUAAUACAUGCAAGUCGGACGCAUCACCUUGGUGAUGAGUGGCGAACGGGUGAGUAAUACAUAAGCAACCUGCCCUUUCGAGGGGGAUAACAGCUGGAAACGGCUGCUAAGACCGCAUAGGCAUGGAGACCGCAUGGUCUGCAUGUUAAAUAUCCCACGGGAUAGCGAGAGGAUGGGCUUAUGACGCAUUAGCUGGAUGGUGAGGUAGCGGCUCACCAUGGCAACGAUGCGUAGCCGGCCUGAGAGGGUGAACGGCCACACUGGGACUGAGACACGGCCCAG
rnacentral:rRNA from 1 species